UUGAGAUUUCUGGGCGCUUGUUGCAGUACUUUAGGGUAUGUUUGUUUCAACGUAAGUAGAUUUGAGGUGAAAGUGAACUUUGGGUUGAAGUGGAGUUGGGGUGAAAAUUAGUUCACUUAUACUGUUUGUUUCUAACUGUGGAAGUGCAGUUCUGCGAGUUCUGUUGUUUGUUUGAUAAGAAGUAGAUGACGUAAAAAGUGUAGCUCUUCACCCCCGGUAUACUUAUCUCCGAUGUAAUAUUAUUGUCUAAGAAUAAUAAAUUAUAAUAAAUAAAAAUUAAUAUAAUUAUAUAUGUAUAUAAUUAUAUAUAUGUAUAAUUAUAAAAUAAAAUUUUAAAAAAUUAUAUUAUUUGUUUGCAUAUAAAUUAUAAUAAUGCAACAAAUAAAAUUCUAAAGUUUAAAAAUUAUUAACAUUUAAACAAAUUCAAUUUUCAUCAUUUUCUGAAUAUACAUAUUAAACAAAAAAUAUAUUAAAAUUUACCUAAUCAAAUUUGAUCAUAUUUUAAACAUACAAUCAAAAUAAAAAAUUUAAUUACUUCCACAAUUGAAUAUAUUUGGAUGAAAAGGUAGAGAAGAGAUAACCCUAACACAUUAAUCCCACUCUUGCCUUUUUUCACUUCACCGGAAUUGACUUCGCUCCGUGGGAAGGCGAAGCCAAUUUUAUUAUUUUGAGUGAACUGGACUUUCGAGCGUAAUAAAAUUAUGGUGAACCAAACAACAGAAGUGAGCAGUUUUCACCGAAAAUUACUUUCCCCUUCCCAGUUCCACCCCACUUUCGUGCAAACAAAUAGUGGGAGUAACUAUUUGUUUGCGUACUGAUUAAUGUGGCACAUCUUAUUAGUCUUAUUAGUCAUUCACUAAUCACUACAUCUUAUUUUUCAAACUUGGCGGUCUACAUACGCAGUGUUGCGGCAUUAAAAUACCUAAAUUCAGUUAUUAGUUAUAAAGUAAACUUCAAAUACUAUCCGUGUUUUCGUACUUUCUUAUGUUAAUAUUCUGUAAUUUAAAAAGUAUCAAUUAAUAUUCUAUAGUUUUUUUCUUUUCUUUUCGUCAGUUCCUUCGAUAAUAUUUCGUUAAAUCAUAUACAAAAAACUCUAUAUGCUUCAUCUAGAUUUAUUAAAUAUUCACUUUAGUACUUUUUAGUUUUAACUUUAUCACUGAUUUAACAAAAAAAAAAAUAGUUGAAGGAAUAAUAAAAAAAAAAUAAAAUCACGGAAUACUAAAUCGAUAGACUUUAAACCACAGAAUAACAAAGUGAAAAAACGCAAAACUACAAAAACGGUAUUUGAAGUUUUCCCUUAGUUAUAAU
rnacentral:lncRNA from 1 species